rnacentral:rRNA from 1 species
GUAGUCCACGCCGUAAACGAUGGAUACUAGGUGUCGGGAGAUUUACCCUCUCGGUGCCGCAGCAAACGCAUUAAGUAUCCCGCCUGGGAAGUACGGUCGCAAGAUUAAAACUCAAAGAAAUUGACGGGGGCCCGCACAAGCGGUGGAGUAUGUGGUUUAAUUCGAUGCAACGCGAAAAACCUUACCUGGGCUUGACAUCUGGUGCUAUCCGGUGAAAGCCGGAGUUCCCUUCGGGGACGCCAAGACAGGUGCUGCAUGGCUGUCGUCAGCUCGUGUCGUGAGAUGUUGGGUUAAGUCCCGCAACGAGCGCAACCCUUGCCUUUAGUUGCCAGCAUUAAGUUGGGCACUCUAGAGGGACCGCUUGCCGAUAAGGCAGA